rnacentral:rRNA from 1 species
GACGUAGGGCGCGAGCGUUGUCCGGAUUUAUUGGGCGUAAAGAGCUCGUAGGCGGCUUGUUGCGUCGGCUGUGAAAACCCAUGGCUCAACCGUGGGCUUGCAGCCGAUACGGGCAGGCUAGAGUUCGGUAGGGGAGACUGGAAUUCCGUGGUGUAGCGGUGAAAUGCGCAGAUAUCAGGAGGAACACCGAUGGCGAAGGCAGGUCUCUGGGCAUUAACUGACGCUGAGGAGCGAAAGCAUGGGGAGCGAACAGG